rnacentral:rRNA from 1 species
CUUGGUCAUUUAGAGGAAGUAAAAGUCGUAACAAGGUUUCCGUAGGUGAACCUGCGGAAGGAUCAUUACCGAGUUCAUGCCCUUCGGGGUAGAUCUCCCACCCUUUGUAUACUAUACCUUUGUUGCUUUGGCGGGCCGCCUAGCUACUGGCUUCGGCUGGUAAGUGCCCGCCAGAGAACCCAAAACCCUGAAUUAUUGGUGUCGUCUGAGUAAAAUAUUUAAUAUUUAAAACUUUCAACAACGGAUCUCUUGGCUCUGGCAUCGAUGAAGAACGCAGCGAAAUGCGAUAAGUAAUGUGAAUUGCAGAAUUCAGUGAAUCAUCGAAUCUUUGAACGCACAUUGCGCCCCUUGGUAUUCCGAGGGGCAUGCCUAUUCGAGCGUCAUUAUCACCCCUCAAGCCUAGCUCGGUGUUGAGACCUGCUGUCAAGGCAGUCUCUAAGAUCAGUGGCAGUGCUGUCAGGCUCUAAGCGUAGUAAAUUCAUCGCUAUAGACACCUGGUGGCCACUCGCCAGAACCCCCCCAUUUUUUAAUGAUUGACCUCGGAUUAGGUAGGGAUACCCGCUGAACUUAAGCAUAUCAAUAAGCGGAGGA